UACGAAGGGGGCUAGCGUUGCUCGGAAUCACUGGGCGUAAAGCGCACGUAGGCGGAUCGUUAAGUCAGAGGUGAAAUCCUGGAGCUCAACUCCAGAACUGCCUUUGAUACUGGCGAUCUUGAGUUCGAGAGAGGUGAGUGGAACUGCGAGUGUAGAGGUGAAAUUCGUAGAUAUUAGCUAGAACACCAGUGGCGAAGGCGGCCAACUGGUCCGGUACUGACGCUGAGGUGCGAAAGCGUGGGGAGCAGACAGG
rnacentral:rRNA from 1 species